rnacentral:rRNA from 1 species
UACGUAGGGUGCGAGCGUUAAUCGGAAUUACUGGGCGUAAAGCGUGCGCAGGCGGUUCGUUGUGUCCGAUGUGAAAGCCCCGGGCUCAACCUGGGAACUGCAUUUGUGACUGCAUCGCUGGAGUGCGGCAGAGGGGGAUGGAAUUCCGCGUGUAGCAGUGAAAUGCGUAGAUAUGCGGAGGAACACCGAUGGCGAAGGCAAUCCCCUGGGCCUGCACUGACGCUCAUGCACGAAAGCGUGGGGAGCAAACAGG